GAUCCGUGGGCGGUGUUUGACACCCGGUAGCGGCUGGGGAGCGUGGGGGCUGGCUGGCUGUCAUCUGUUUCACCGGCACGUUUCACGGAGAGGAGCAGCCAGGCGCCCACCUACCGUUGUUUUGUUUUUUUUAAACCUCCAGAUUGACUUCCGUUUACGCUUUCACCGCUGUUAGGGUCAGCUCACUAGACUGGACAGGACUAAAACAUUGAGAUUUCAGAAAACAAACCGGGUUUGAAAAACGGGAUAUAUAUUUGUUUUUUAAUUUGUGCUUUUCGGUGCAGGUGUGUGGGUGAGUGAGGGCGCAAAAGAGAGAGGAGAGAGCGUGUAAGUGCCGUGUUGUUUGUGUCGGUGUUUCGGCUAAACCGCUUUAUGUGUUUGUAUGUAGCUGGCUAUGGGUCUGUAUGAGUGUGUAUGAGUGUGUGGAGUGUGUUCGCUCUGAAUUGGAGGGGAUAUCCAAGAAAAAUGUCAGCGUGUCAACAACAACAACAACAGAGGCAGGCUAACGGUCGGAUGUGUACUUGCUUUUUCUCUCAUACCGGGAGAUAGAAAAGGCGCUCGUUCAUUCAGGAAGGAGGAGGACGUUACCGGAAUACCUAAGAGACGAGUGGAACUGAACCGUCUUCCCGCCUGUCUGACUGACUGUCUGUCUGCCUGACUAACGUGAAUGAAAUCUUUAGAGGAGGAGGGGAGCGUUUCAAUCCACAGCCGUCAAGGAUUCAAUCGACGGAUGAAGAUGGAGUCAUUCCGCCGCUGUGGACGUUAAACGGACGUUAGGUCUGGAGAGGCUGGUUGGAGAAGUUGAGCUGAAAGGAGACUGAACCGGGGAAAGAGGGAGAGGCGGAUCGGGUAGCUGAAAGGAGACUGAACGGGGAAAGAGGGAGAGGCGGAUCGGGUAGCUGAAAGGAGACUGAACGGGGAAAGAGGGAGAGGCGGAUCGGGUAGCUGACAGGGACGCAGACCAGCCUAGCCCUGGAUUUCACCAGGAGAUUCCAAGAAGAAGAAGAGAAAUAAGAGAAAUAUGUGGCGUCACCGCUGCCGCCAGUCUAGUCUGUGGUGGAGUCUUGAGCCAGUGGUCGUUAAAACGACCCGGCUUGAUCAGUGAAG
ensembl:lncRNA